rnacentral:rRNA from 1 species
GAUGAACGCUGGCGGCGUGCCUAAUACAUGCAAGUCGAGCGAACAGACGAGGAGCUUGCUCCUCUGACGUUAGCGGCGGACGGGUGAGUAACACGUGGAUAACCUACCUAUAAGACUGGGAUAACUUCGGGAAACCGGAGCUAAUACCGGAUAAUAUAUUGAACCGCAUGGUUCAAUAGUGAAAGACGGUUUUGCUGUCACUUAUAGAUGGAUCCGCGCCGCAUUAGCUAGUUGGUAAGGUAACGGCUUACCAAGGCAACGAUGCGUAGCCGACCUGAGAGGGUGAUCGGCCACACUGGAACUGAGACACGGUCCAGACUCCUACGGGAGACAGCAGUAGGGAAUCUUCCGCAAUGGGCGAAAGCUUGACGGAGCAACGCCGCGUGAGUGAUGAAGGUCUUCGGAUCGUAAAACUCUGUUAUUAGGGAAGAACAAAUGUGUAAGUAACUAUGCACGUCUUGACGGUACCUAAUCAGAAAGCCACGGCUAACUACGUG